UACGAAGGAUGCAAGCGUUAUCCGGAUUCACUGGGUUUAAAGGGUGUGCAGGUGGGGUAAUAAGUCAGUGGUGAAAGCCCCCGACUCAAUCGGGGAACUGCCAUAGAUACUGUUAUUCUUGAGUGUAGUUGAGGCGGAUGGAAUAUGACAUGUAGCGGUGAAAUGCUUAGAUAUCGUCAAGAACACCGAUAGUGUAGACAGCUAACUAAGCUUUAACUGACGCUGAGGCACGAAAGUGUGGGGAUCAAACAGG
rnacentral:rRNA from 1 species